UCCGCACCAUGAUGUGUUGUUUUUUCUCUACAAUUCUUUUCCAAAAAAAUCCCCGGGAUACUGUGUUAUCCGUUGCAUGUUCUUUGAUAUUAUUGAGACUUAUAGACAUGUGAACUAUUUGGCUAUUGAGUAAUUUUGAUGAGAUUUAUGAGAUGCAUAGAUGGUGGGGAUUGGGAAUUACUAGUAGUUGGUAUUGGUAUCUGUCUAUAAUUGGGUUCAGCAGUGAGAUAUAUUUAGUGUUGAGAUUAUCAGCUGUCAGUACGGUAAUUUUGCUUCUCUCAGUUUCCUCCUCGGUAUUCGGCGCGUAUGGUAUCGGUUCAGGAAUUUAACUCAGAGUCGAUAUGUCCGUGCCGAGUGCUUGGGAUGAGACAGGGUGAGGCUUUGGUUUAGAAUUUUCACUGCACAGCGAGUUGUGUGUUGGUGUUUAGGUGAGUCGUGGGCGACUUGUUUUAAGUAGGGGGAGGAUGUAAACCAGUGGAUUUGACUUUUGCAUUUUGUUGAUCCACCCUGUAUGUGACUAUUCUGUGGCAAUGCGCUGCUGCCACCUAUACUGUUUUGACUGGUUUAGGAACUACAUGUAUUGCACGGUCGCUAUGGUAACGGUCAGUUUAACUUCGUUAAUCAGCUUCCUAAAAUCAUCGGGUUGCUGUAAUAUUUUGAGAAUAUUACUUGAGGAAUUUUAAGUACCUUUUAGGCCUUGAUAUGAAUUUAUUUACGUGUGUAAACGACUGGGCACAUGGUCGUCUGCUAAUUUCUCCAUCUUGGAAGCAAAACAAUUUUCUGAAUCUUGAGAAGAAAACUCUCUUUUUACGCAUAAAUUCACCUUUCCUAAACCUGGUGCCUGACUUGAGGAAGCAUGAAUACCCAUGGAAUGGACUAGACCCCUUUAGAUGAUGUUGUGGCUAGUCGGUAAUACGCAAUCGGGGUGAUUUUGAGACCACCUCUGGCUCUGUACCUGUGACCUUGGCUGGCUUUUGCCCAAACAGGCUGGUAUUCAGCCUCACUGUCCCUGUCCCACUUCUUGUUUGGUAUCUAACUUUGUGUCUGGCAGGACAGGUAAGCCCUAAGUGAUGUCCCGGAGAUUCGUGGCCCGUCGUUUUCACGGUUGGGCCCAGUUGUAGGCCAAGAGUUAGGUUUGAGAGAGUCCUGUACAUUGUGUAGUGCAUCGGCCUGUGCAUUGUGAGGCCUGGCCCUGUUAUGAUUCAGUGUGAACAAUAGUUAUCCCAGGGAAUCCUUGCGUUCUUUUAUUAUCUACCCCAUACCCAGACCCGCUCGUUGUGGUUGGCCCCAUGGGUAUGACGGUCUUAGGACAGCCCCGAACCUGGAGUGUAUAGCAAUUGUGAGUGAGCAAAGCCGGAGUGAACUGUGAGACAGGACCCACCCCGCACGGUGGUCGGAGACUGGGCAAGUGCGGGUUACAUUUGAAAGGAUGAAAUCCAUUCCUUCUUUCCUUUAGAAAGGGGGAUGUAGAGUAUUACAUUUGUACCAUCAGAGUGUUACAUCUGAGACAUAGCAAUACAGAUGUAUAUGUUACAUCGGAUGCUGAAUAAAGUAGUUGUAUGCAGAUAUCACAUCUUGUUGUCUCUGAGACUUUACAAUCCUUGACUUUAUUCCUGCGGGGUGUACUUCACUUGCACAGCCACCGGACGUCAGUGUAAUGAAAUCAUUCAAAAAUCACGCCAAGAAGGCUUGGAAAAAUUGGAAAGUCGAGAAUACAGAUAAGGAGGGUCGGUGUCCGCCUGUCUCACUACUAGACGUUACAAACAUUAUCAGCAAUGCCUGUAGCUGCCGCUGUUUUGCUGGUUCAGGUGUUAUGCCCGAUUGGUACUGCAACUGCUCUCCGGUCACGAAAUCCAGCUUCUUUCACUGAAAGAAGUCCCGUCCUUUGUACGCCUUAAAUAUAGUUCCCUGUUUGACCCCUCGGUUGAGGCCUGUUUUUGACCUGGACCUUCUCCCUGAUGGAUAUGAAUACCAUUUUUCCAAGCCUCCGAUCUUCUCCACUCCUUCGAAUUUCAAUGCUGUGAUACGUACAACAAUUAACGAUGAAGAGACUGCUAAGCAAUGGGUUGAGGAUUUCCAGGAUAAAAGCAAAGUAACUUGGAGUGCUGUUCCUGAUCCCUUCCUUCCAGACUACCCAUGUCAGAUUGAAAUAUACGGCAACCACAACCACCAGGUCCAUUCAGCUGACAGUUUGCGGGAACGAGAUGUGUCCUAAGAAACCAAGAAGAAAUUGCAAGAGCUUUUUAAAAAGAGCCACUCUCCGUCCUCAGCCCUCGAAACAAUCAAGACUGACAUGCAGAUCUCUGAAGGCCAUAACUAUGCAUUUGCUGCAGCUGAUAGGGCUGAUUGUCCUGACUUGGGAUAUUGUUUCAGGGGCGAAUCACAGAAAGCUGCGAAAGGCCUUUCACAUUUGGGAUAGGAAAACUAUGUUCACUGUGCCCUGGAUUACCACAGAUGGCUGCUAGCCCUCAAAAGCACAAGAAGAUAAUGAAGAGCCUGUGCAUGCCGCAUGAUGAUAAUGGACCUAUCAGAUCAACCAAACAUCAAGUUAAAUUGUCAAAUGUGUGCGUGCGUCACUAGAGUUUAAAUACUUGUUCCGGUAGCUUAUCAAGGAAACGAGCACGGAUAUCCCACAUCACAUUAAGUUUUGUCGAAAGACAAGUGUCACAGGCUGCCCGCCACAUGUGGAAAAAUAUUUCCAAUCAUAGUUCAAAAUUACUUAUAUAUCCUUGAGUAGUAUAUACUAUUUGUAACAAACAUAGGCCUACUCUUUUGUUUUAUAAUUAGUCUUUCUAUCUAUCGGAAGCUACACAUAUUUUAUUGCAUUUCUGGUUAACCUUUUGACUUUUACUUAGAAUUUCUGACUUGAUGGCUAUCCUAGUUCCUGUGUAGGUUAAGAGUUCACUUGUCACCAAGGUUAGCAUCUGGUUUUAGGUAGCUUUCUGGACAGAAAGUGCCUCUCCCGGCAAGAUAUUUUCCUUAGAACAGGAACAAAUCAAGAAAGUUUAUGAAAUUUACAUGUAGUUAGUAAUUUGUAAUUUGUAAUGAGUUAUCAAGCAGUGAGACUAGAUUUAUCAAGGAGGCAAGACGUGCCCCUUUUGUUUCCCUGGACAGACGGUCCAGUUUUUUUUAAUCUAAAUAGAUACUUUAUUCGUGACAUGUCACAGAUAAAUACACAGGACAAUUAUAAUGGUGUGAACAUAAGCAAAGAAUGGUGCAAACAAAAAACAACAAAACACACAACAUAAAAACCUAUACCGCACACAGGAGAAAUCAGGUGAGAAAUAAUGAUAUUAUGAUAAACACAA